GCUCCGGAGGCCUAGUGGUUAGAGCGUCCGCCUCGGAUGCGGGAGGUCGUGGGUUCGACCCCCGGUCGAAUCA